GAUGAACGCUGACAGAAUGCUUAACACAUGCAAGUCGAUGGGGAAGUGGUGCUUGCACCAUGGUAACCAUGGCGGACGGGUGAGUAACGCGUAAGGAACUUGCCUGCGGGACCGGGAUAACAGCAGGAAACUGCUGACAGGACCGGAUAAGGUCAUGAAGCUGCAUAGCUUAGUGAUGAAAGGAGACGCCUGCGGAGAGCCUUGCGUCCUAUUAGCUAGUUGGAGGGGUAACGGCCCACCAAGGCGAAGAUAGGUAGCCGGCCUGAGAGGGUGGACGGCCACAAGGGGACUGAGAUACGGCCCUUACUCCUACGGGAGGCAGCAGUGGGGAAUAUUGGACAAUGGGGGCAACCCUGAUCCAGCAAUUCUGUGUGCACGAAGACGGUUUUCGGAUUGUAAAGUGCUUUCAGCAGGGAAGAA
rnacentral:rRNA from 1 species